rnacentral:lncRNA from 1 species
CUUCCCAAUCCAGUAAUGCAAAUCCACAGCGGUGCCACGAGAGGUUCUUUUGCUGUGCAGAAUUACAUAGCAGUCCCCUUCAAAAAAAGUCCCAUAGGCUUUUUCAGGUACAGGAACCAUCUUCAUGUUCUCUAUGCUCCAUAUCUGCAGACCCAGCCUUCUCUCUAUAGUUGGAAGAUUUGUGUCACCAUCUGCCAUCCUGAACUCUGAGCUUGCUGGAAAGCGCCCGGUGUUCCUCGCAGUUCUCCCUCCUCGGCGAUCCCAGCGCUUUCUCUUCUCUUUGGUGAGCUCUUUUCAAGGCACUUUUGUUUGCUG